rnacentral:lncRNA from 1 species
CCCACCCUUUUUCCCCCCUCACAGUAGUUUAAGAAAAUACCAGAAAGUAUUCAUUUAUAAUUCUCCCUCCCUCAUUACCCUUCCUAAUGGGAAAGGAAGUGCACAAGCUGAUAAUUAGGCCUCCACAUAAGAAAUGGGGCUGAGAAGAACAAAUGUCUAUUUCAAAAACUCCAAAAAUUCCCUUUAAAGCCAGGGAGUUGGAUUGGAAAGGGUUGCUGUCAAAUCAUGUAUUAUCUCCUGAAAAUUUAUUUGCUCCACUUGAGCAUGUUUACAUGUUCAACUACAUCAUACUUCAAGAUCCCAAGUAGAUGGAUGUGACCUGGGAAGUGCCAAGAGAUGAUCAAAUCAGCCUCCUGAGAAGAUAAAUUGGAAUUGCUGAAGGUAUUCAUUUUUUUUUGCAAAUGGCCAGAAAUCCAGUCAACGAAUUGAAAUUGACACCAUGAAUUAAUCGGGAGUGGGAUUACCUAAGGUUUCUCCUACAUUAUCUGCAGCUAGAUUGGAACAUGAUUUCGUAACGUUCUGUAACCUGCACAGCUCUGAGGCUUAGAAACUAACCAAGAUUAAAGUCCAUAUCAUAGUGCUACUUAACCCUGUGGUUUGGUAGUCUCCCAAACCUGGAACAAGGCAUACUUUUAGCAGGAUUUAUGGAAACCUGACUAGGUUGAGUGAAGAUCACCUGGGCAUCUUGUAUUAAAGUGUAGAACUAACCUUUUGAAAGGGUCAUAAUGAACCAAGAGCAUCACGAAGCAUACCCUCUAGUGGGAGAGGGCCAUAUUUUGUUUUCGAAAUUUCCACGGGCCAGCAAGUCAAUGAGGCUGAAUAGGAAAUCCUGACUUCUGAAUCAAGUUGAGGAAUAGAGGUUAUGGUAGCAGUUCCUGUGACUGGCAAAAUAUCAAGAUAGUGGAAGGGAAUUUGCCAAAGCAACUAUGACUUUAUUGACGAAUGGUAAAUUUAAACUGGUGUACCUCCAGUUUCAACAUUUAUGAAUUGUGGAAUUUUGGCUCAAAGGGUGCACUGCAAAAUAUAUAAAAGUCCCUUGUGAGACAAAGAUUGGCUUUCCAGCUGCUUUCCACAUGGGCAUGAUGUUCGUGCUUUACCGGGGAAUGUAUCCUUUAAAAACUUGGAAUAGUAAAGGAUGGUAUUUGUGCCUUUUCCCCCUGAAGAUGUAGGAAUUUUUAUAAACUAAGGUUCUGGCUUGUAACAGUGCUGUACUGCAAUUAGUAAUUGGCAAAAGGAUAAAAAUUGGCUUCCCAGCAGUUUCCUAGUGUGAUGAAGAUCUAAAGUGGCCAAGUCAGCAAAUGUACCUUAUAAACUGGAGGAAUUCAGCAUCUAGAAAAGGAAUCAGAGCCCCCCCUAAGUUCAAUUGAGUGAACUUAAACCAAGUAAAAAUACUUAGGCACAUUCUUAAUGCGCAUAGACUAUUCUAAGAAUUAAGUUUCAGAUGUUGGUGCAUAUCCCUCAUGAUAAAGGACUUCAAUAAAACUUUGGUUCUGGCUUGUAACAGUGCAGUACUGCAAUUAGUAAUUGGCAAAAGGAUAAAAAUUGGCUUCCCAGCAGUUUCCUAGUGUGAUGAAGAUCUAAAGUGGCCAAGUCAGCAAAUGUACCUUAUAAACUGGAGGAAUUCAGCAUCUAGAAAAGGAAUCAGAGCCCCCCUAAGUUCAAUUGAGUGAACUUAAACCAAGUAAAAAUACUUAGGCACAUUCUUAAUGCGCAUAGACUAUUCUAAGAAUUAAGUUUCAGAUGUUGGUGCAUAUCCCUCAUGAUAAAGGACUUCAAUAAAACUUUGGAAUCUUGGCUGAUAGUAAACAUGCCAAAGCCCGUUAGAUUGCUUAAAGGACAAAGAUUGGUUUCCCAAAUGCAUUUCCCCUUGUAUGGUGAUUAAGCACAAGAUAAAGAUGGAAUGUACUUAUUACAUGAAGAUCCUUUCAACAUUCCAAUGCUUUGAGUGGGCAUUCAAUCUGGAUAUAUGUGAAUACCCAUUUAUUAGGACCUUAAACAG